AUUGAACGCUGGCGGCAUGCCUUACACAUGCAAGUCGAACGGCAGCGCGGGGCAACCUGGCGGCGAGUGGCGAACGGGUGAGUAAUAUAUCGGAACAUACCCUAGAGUGGGGAUAACGUAGCGAAAGUUACGCUAAUACCGCAUACGCACUAAGGUGGAAAGUGGGGGAUCUUCGGACCUCAUGCUCAUGGAGUGGCCGAUAUCUGAUUAGCUAGUUGGUGAGGUAAAGGCUCACCAAGGCGACGAUCAGUAGCGGGUCUGAGAGGAUGAUCCGCCACACUGGGACUGAGACACGGCCCAGACUCCUACGGGAGGCAGCAGUGGGGAAUUUUGGACAAUGGGCGAAAGCCUGAUCCAGCCCAUUCCGCGUGAGUGAAGAAGGCCUU
rnacentral:rRNA from 1 species